UAUGUAGGGUGCAAGCGUUAAUCGGAAUUACUGGGCGUAAAGCGUGCGCAGGCGGUGAUGUAAGACAGGUGUGAAAUCCCCGGGCUUAACCUGGGAACUGCAUUUGUGACUGCAUCGCUGGAGUGCGGCAGAGGGGGAUGGAAUUCCGCGUGUAGCAGUGAAAUGCGUAGAUAUGCGGAGGAACACCGAUGGCGAAGGCAAUCCCCUGGGCCUGCACUGACGCUCAUGCACGAAAGCGUGGGGAGCAAACAGG
rnacentral:rRNA from 1 species